CCUCGCGCGCGCUCCCUUCUCUCGCCUCCCUCCGCCCUAUCGGAAAGGCGGGGAGAGCCGGUUUCGGCUCUGCUGGUUCCUCCCGGAGGUGGGUGUUUGGUGUCUGGCCUUGCUGGCCCGGCGUCCAAAAGGAAGUGCACGGCUGUCUAUAACGUGCUCCCGGGUCUCAGGAUGGAGGAGUGAAGUCUCCUGUCGCCGUGGUUCCAGCCUCCGGAGCUCGCCCAAGCCGCGUCCCCAGAGAGCGCCCUGAGAGAACAGGGUGGCCGCUUGGUCCAGUUCUGGAGGCUGGGAAGUCCAAUAUCAAAGUGCCUGCAGCGAGGACCUUCGUGCUGCAUCAUCCCAUGGCAGGAGACAGAAGCGCAAGACAGCAGGAGAGCCAGGGCAAGAGAAAGAGGGCUAACCUCAUCCUUUUAUCAGGAGCCCACUCCUGCAACAACAGCAUUCAACUGUUCAUGAGGGCAGAGCUCCCAUGACCCAAUCACAUCUUAAAGUUUCCACCUCUCAACAAUGUUGCAUUGAGGAUUAAGUUUCCAAUACAUAAACUUUGGGGUACACAUUCAAACCACAGCAGUCCUCAAUAAGGAAUGUUGACUGUUUUCGUUGGGCACGGAAUAAGGAAUUUGCUUCUGGGCUGACCAAUAUUUUGUAUCUCUUUUUUGUUAACUUGAAACUUAGACUGGUCAUUGGGACUAAAAGUGUUCUACCUUUUUAGUCUAUUAAAAAAGAUGAAAAUUCAUAUCUGUGACCACAGAUAUUAAUAGUUGGUCAUUUGCUUUCUUCAAAGAAUUCAUUUGAAAUAUAUUUAUAUUCAUAGUUUUAAAAUAUAUGAUCCAUAAAAGCCCAAGUUUACAGAACAGAUGACUAAGGGUAUGAUUUUCAAAACGAAAAUAAUCUUUUCUUCUAUUCAUCAGGGUUAGCUCCUCUAGAACUUAGAAAAAAAAUGGUUAUAUACAAUGUUUAGGAAAUGAAACCAUUGGUUACAGCAAAGCAUACUUGCAGCACUUUCAGAAUGAGCACUUUAGACAGAAUGCUCAUUUUAAAAGUACUGUACAGCCAGGUGUAGUGACUCACGCCUGUAAUCCUAAUGCUUUGGGAGGCCGAGGCAGAUGAGUCAUUUGAGCCCAGGAGUUUGAGACCAAUCUGGGCAACAUGGUGAAACCCCAUCUCUACAAAAAAUAAUUUAAGAAACACUAGCUGAGCGCAGUGGUGUGCGCCUGUUGUCCCAGCUACUCAGGAGGCUGAGGUUGGAGGGUUACUUGAGCCCAGGAGGUUGAGGCUGCAAUGAGCCAAGAUUGCACCACUGCAUUCUAGCCUGGGUAACAAAGAGAGACACUAUAAGUAAGUCUAUGGCAUUUUCUGAUGGCAGCCUGGGCCUACUAAUACAGAAGACAUACUGAAGUUUAUCUGAAGUUGCAAAGGCAAGCUGGAAUGCUGUGAUACUGGAGCACAGUAAAUGAGGACAGAAUUGAAGGACUUGGGGUCAGAGAUAUAAAGUGGAAGGAUGAAAGAAAGUGCUUAAUCACCAGCUCUUUGUCAUUGGAACUGAGAAGCUGCAGAAUAUAGUGGCUGCUGGAACUGCCUCCUCAAAGGCAUGUUACCUAACAUGAGCCUUAGCUUCUGCUUCCUCAUCUGUGAAAUGGGGUUAAUGAUGAGAAAGACAGGAUCUUGUUCUGUCACCCAAGCUGGAGUACAGUGGCAUGAUCAUAGCUCACUGUAACCUUGAACUCCUGGACUCAAGCGAUCCACCUGCCUUAGCCUCCUGAGGAGCUGGGACUACAGGUGUGUGCCACCACACCUAGCUAAUUUCUUUCUUUCCGUCUUUUUUGGAAAAAACAGGGUCUCGCUAUGUUGCAUAGGCUGGUUUUGAACUCCUGGCUUCAAGCAAUCCUCUCAUCUCAGCUUCCCGAAGUGCUGGGUUUACAGGCAUCUGAGCCACCCCACUCCAGUUAUAUGUAAACUUUCAAGUUUCUAUUUAGUUUGCUUGGCAGGAUAAGGGAGAUCCUCCCCACCCCCACUCCAUCUAGGGAGAGCUUUUAGGAUAAAAAAAACUCUGUGGUAGGAAGUAAACAAACAUUCUCAACUGACAGACUUUUGAACUGAAAAGGGCCAGGAAGACAACAGAAACUCCUUUACCACAAUAAUAUAAUAGGGUGAAGUGAAGAACAUAUUAAUAUGCUGGGAAAAAAAAAACAACAACCCAGGCAUGGGGCUAGAGUACAUGCCUGUCAUCCCAGCUACUCAGGAGGCUGAGGCAGGAGAAUCACUUGAGCCCAGGAGUUGGAGGCCGAUCUGGGCAACAUAGUGAUAUUUCAGCUCCAAAAAUUUAAAAAGCCUGAAAAAUACUUUGCUCCUGUGUUACUGACCCCCAUUGUCUUUGAAAGAUGAGCAAUACUGAUUAUGGGGAAAUAUUUGUCCUUAGGUAUUUCAGGAGGAAAUUGGCCUCAGCCAUCAGCCCUCACUGCCCAAGGGGGAAAAGCAUUUCAAGAAGUUCCACUACAGGGGUAGCCACAUUCCUCCCACUUUAGAGUCAGCAGAAGGAUAAGCCAAGGGAAUCUGCCUUUAACACUCAGCAGAAGCCCAAGGCAUUCAUCUUUGCACUUAAUAAGAAGAGACAGCAGUAACUGGGACCACUUUCUCUUUUUGAGAAUGGGACAGAUUUCUGAGGCAAAGGGAUGGGAUCAUUAGAAAAGGAAUCUCAGAGGGAAGAUCGAAGAGGAGGACAGCAGAAACCUGAGGAGACAGAGAGCAAGGUAACAGCCAUUUGGGAUAUCUUGUAAAGGUCUAAAUUGUGAGUCCUUGUCCCAUCUGCUCACCUCCUUUCCUCAUAUGGUAGUAGGGAGCAGGUUACUCAGAGAGGGUUAUAACUGUUGGUCCUCCUCUUCCGAAUGAUUUUGCAAUGCUUAUCUACAUUUUUUUGGAAAAGAUUAGUGUCCAGAGGGUGUUUGAGCUUGCGGAAAUGGAUGCAUAUGUGUUUGCGAAACAAAUAUCCUGAUCACUUGGUGGUCCCUAGCAGAGAUGGGUCCGAGAGGGUUACAGGCCAGACUCCCCCCCAUAACUAAGAUAAGGAGAAGUUUACUGGUGUUGGGGCUCAAAACACAGUGCCCUAAAGUGUGGUGCUUUGGCAUGCUGAGUACUUUGAACUGAAGGAGAUUGCAAGGGCCUCAGAAGCAACAUAUUUCCGACCUUCUCCCACCCUCCUAUCUCCAGACUCUCUUUCUCCCCUGAAGCAACUCAUAAAACCAGAAUAAGUCUUCCUCAAGAUGGGUCAUAGAAAUUCUAACUCCUCUCCCCUGAAGCAGGCCAUAAAACCUAGAAAUGUCACUCUCUGACAUUCUCCCCUCUUCCCUGAAGACCUUCAUGUGACAAGUGUCUUGUGCUAUACCCAGAGCUACAUAGGGGGCCAAGAAGAAGCAGAACAGACAGGCCUUGCUGCAUUCCCCUCAGUUGAUUACCAUUAUUGCAGCAUACCCUUGUUGUCCAAUCUCAUUUCUACGUGACUGUCCAUUUGUCAGCAAACCUAAGCAUAAGAAUACCCAGCUUUUCCUGGGUCUUUGGUUCUUCAUUUCUGAAGUCUCCCAUGUCAUUUAAAACUUUGUUAAAUAAAUUUGUCAUGCUUUUCUCUUGCUAACUUGUCUUUUGUUAUAGAAGUGUCUGCCAUGACCAUUGUGAUGAGUGAUGAAGGAGUAUCGUACCUGUUUGUCCCUCCACAGGCUAGCAGAUGACUCGCUAAUCAUAGGAGACAAGCUAUCUCCUUUGCCUUGACUAAACCUUGAAAACUAGCAAAACUCGUCCACAUAGCAGAAUAGGAAGGCAUUCCUGACACACCUGGGUCACAUGAGAUUUAACUGUUUUUAUUACAAGGCCUUUUGUGAGGUCUUGCAAGCAGUGGGGAAAUUACCAACUGGACUACUAUUUCUUUCACAAAUGCUAAUUAAAUGCCUUUAGGUGGCAGACUCUUUUCUUUUUUUUUUUCUUCUUGAGACAGAGUCUCACUCUGUCGCCCAGGCUGUGGUACAGUGGCAAGAUCUCUGCUCACUGCAAACUCUGCCUCCCGGGUUCAAGUGAUUCUCCUGCCUCAGCCUCCUGAGUAGCUGGGAUUACAGGCAGGUGCCACCAUGCCCGGCUAAUUUUUGUAUUUUUGGUAGAGACGGGGUUUCACCACACUGGUCAGGCUGGUAGGUGGCAGACUCUAUGUCAAGUUCUACGCAAAUUAAUUGUUUUUGGUCUCUGACCUUAAAGAUCUCAUAAUCUACUGAGGAAGACAACCAUGAAGAGAUAAUUCAAUUUAAUUCAAUUGGAUUGAAGAAAAGACUGAGAAACAAAGACUGGUCAACAUAGUGAGACCCCGUCUCUACAAAAACUAAAAAAAAAAAAUGAGCCAGGCACAACAGUAUGCACCUGUAGCCCCAGCUAUUUGGUAAGCUGAGGCAGGAGGAUUGCUUGAGCCCAGGAGUUUGAGACCAGCCUCAGCAACAUAGUGAGACCCUGUCUCUACAAAAAAUUUAGCCAGCUAUGGUGGCAUGCAUCUGUAGUCCCAGCUACUCAGGAGACUGAGGCAGGAGGAUUGCUUGGGCCCAGGAGGUUGAGGCUGCAAUCAGCAUGAUCAGGCCACUGUACUCCAGCCUGGGUGACAGAGUGAGACCUGUCUAAAGAAAAAAAAAAAAAAGACAGAAAUGAGAUGAAUUAGUCCACCUAAGAGAUGAUAGAGAUCUGAACUGAUGCAGUGGCAGGAAAGAUUCAAUGGGAGAGGGAGGCUGAGAGAUAUUUCUGAAGUAGAUGCAAAUGGAUUUCAUAGGUAAUUGGAUACUGCAGAAGGGGGGGGUGCAGUGCGGGGUAAGAAGUUCUUGGGCUCCUGUUGGGUAAUUCUGACCUCACUUAUUUAAAAUAAUAAUAAUAAACUUGAAGUUUAAACAUCGAUAUUGCCAAAGUGAAAGGAAACAGCUGAGAAGGCAGUCUGACUUGCUUUUGUUGUCUACUGCUCCACAUGAUCAUGUUUGAUUCAACUGACAGUUAAAGGAUUUUGAACCUGGGCCCUUCUUGUGGGUUCCAAGGCAAGCCACAGCAUGGCACUUACAUCCGAGGGUGUCAAAGCUGUCCCUGGAUGUCACACCCUAGGCUAUCACAACCAAAGAGAAGACUCAGCACAGUUAGGGUGAGGCAAGGGUCAGGGAGAGACUGCAGCUGUGACACCAGGGCUUUGAGAAUUCUGUGUCAUGAAUGAGGGUGUUGUUUUGCCUUUUUGGAUGAGUACAUGUGUGUUUUGGACAGUUUGUAGAUUCUGGCAAUUCUAGAAAGGGUGGGACAGGGGACUUACCUCAGAAAAGGGAAGAGAACAAAGAGUAGGCAGAAUAACUUGUCCAACACUAACAGCAAAUACACCAUUUUCCUCCUGCAAAAAUGAAACAGUCAAGAUGAGGAAGACCUGAUCAGUAGCACAGUGAAGCGAUUGAAGAGUAUGGGCUCCAGAGUGAGAUUAGCUGAAUUCAUCCUUAGCCUUGAGAUCCCGCACUGAUUACCCAAGCUGUCUGAACUCUAACAAGAGCCUGGGACAUAGUAAGUGGUUGGUAAAUAUUAGCUUAUACUAUUCUAAGUAAUUUUGGGCAGGAAAGAGAAAUAAGACAAUUUUUCUAACCCUGAACGAGAAGCUGGGAAAAAAAAAUAGCUUUCAAAACAACACUGGAAUAAAAUUCCAAAAGCAUAAGCAACUAAAGAAAAAAAAUAGCUAAAUUGGAUAUCUUCAAAAUUAAAAUCUUUGUGCUUCAAAGGAUAUCAUUAAGAAAGUGAAAAGACAACCCACAAAAUGAGAGAAAAAUUGUGCAAAUCAUUAUAUCUAACAAGAGGCUUGUAUCUAAAACAUAUAAAGAACUCUGGCCCGGCACAGUGGCUCACACCGGUAAUCCCGGCACUUUGGGAGGCUGAGGCAGGGGGAUUGCUUGAGCCCAGGACUUUGAGAACAGCCUGUAUGUGUAUACUCUAUCCUGUGAUUGUAUUGUAUUGUAUUGUAUUCACGUGGUGUGACCCCAUCUCUAUAAAAAUUACAAAAAUUAGCCAGGCAUGGUAAUGUGCACCAGUAAUUCCAGCUACUCAGGAAGAUGAGGUGGGAGGAUUUAUUGAGCCUGGGAGGUCAAGGCUGCAGCAUUCCAGCUUGAGUAACAGAGAGAGACCCUGUCCCAAAACAACAACAAUAAAAAACAAAACAAAACAAAAAAACAGAAAAGAAAAAAAAGAACUCUUAUGAUUCAUACACAUAACCCAAUUUUAAAGUAGGCAAAGGACCUGAACAAACAUUUCUCCAAAGAAGAUAUAUAAAUGACCAAUAAACACAUGAAAAGAUGCUCAACAUCUUUAGUCACCACAGAAAUGCAAAUCAAAAUCUUCACACACACUAGGAUAACUAUGAUCAAAGCAACAAAUAAUAAAAGGUGUUGGUGCCGGGCGCGAUGGCUCAUGCCUGUAAUCUCAGCACUUUGGGAGGCCGAGGUGGGUGGAUCACGAGGUCAAGAGAUCGAGACCAGCCUGGCCAACAUGGUGAAACCCCAUCUCUACUGAAAAUACAAAAAUUAGCUGGGUGUGGUGGCACGCGCCUGUAAUCCCAGCUACUCAGGAAGCUGAGACAGGAGAAUUGCUUGAACCCGGGAGGCGGAGGUUGCAGUGAGCCGAGAUCACACCACUGCACUCCAGCCUGGCGACAGAGUGAGAUUCUGUCUUAAAAAAAAAAAAAAAGUGUUGGUAAGGAUGUGGAGAAGAAAUUGAUAAAUUGGAACCUUUACACUCUGCUGAUAGGAAUGUAAAAUGGUGCAGCCAAAAACAGUCUGGCAGUUCCUGAAAGGUUUAAAAUAAAUUUACCAUAUGACCCAGAAAUUCCACUUCUAUGUAUAUACCUAAGAGAAAGGAAAGCAUAUGUUCACACAAACAUUGUACAUGAAUUUCAUAGCUGCAUUAUACAUAACAGCCAAAAAGAAGAAACAACCCAAAUGUUCAUCGACUGAUGAACAGAUCAACAAAUUGUGGGAUAGCCAUACAGUGAAAUAUCAUUUGGCGGUAAAAAUAAAUGAAGCACUGAUAUGUGCUGCAACGUGGGUGAACCUCAAACACUUUAUACUUAGUGAAAGAAGCUGAUAGAGACAGGAAAAAACAAAGUGUUUUUCCUACUUUCACACACCACUCGACAGGAACUUCUGACACCAGAUAUGUAGGGGGGUUCUCCACACACCACACAGUUCUUUUGCAGAUACUAACUGGGUGUCCUACAAUUUAACUCCACCCUGACACUACUUACCUGGACUUAGCAUCAGAUCCCACAGGUCGAGGGCUCAUUCCCACAAGACUGCCCCCCACUUCUGAUACCAAUUGCAAUUUCUGACUGCAAUUGGCUAUAAAUUAGGGUUCCCAUGAUCUCCUUCUUGGGUUUAAUUUGCUAGACUUGUUCACAGAACUCAGGGAAACACCUGAAACAUUUACCCAUUUAUUAAAAGGAUAUUACAAAAGAUACAGAUUGACAGAAAGAUGGAAGAGAUACAUAGGGCAAGGUAUGGGGGAGGGAAUGCAGAUCUUCCAUACCCUCUCUGGAUGUGCCACCCCCCCAGGUACCUCCACAUGUUCAGCAAUCCAGUUUUUGGGGACUUUUAUGGAGGCCUUAUUAUGUAGGCAUGAUCGAUUACAUCACUGGCCAUUUGUGAUCAACUUAACCUUCAGCCCCUCUCCCUUCCUGAGAGGUUGGGGGUUUGAAAGCUCACACCUUCUAAUGAUAUGGUUGGGUUGGUUUCCUUGGCAACUAGCCCCACUCACCCCGACAAUCCUGAGGCUAUCUAGGAGAUUCCAACCACUAGUCAUCUCAUUAGCAUACAAAAGCUACUCUCUUCUCUCCAGAGACUCCCAGGGUUUCAGGAGCUGUAGUGCCAGGAACCAAGGACAGAGACCAAAUAUAUGUUUCUUACUGUAUUACAAUAUUAUAGAAACCAAACACAAAAGACCACCUUUUGUGUAAUUAUAUGAAAUGUCCAGAGUAGACAAAUAUAUAGAGACAGAAAGUAGACUAGUGGCUGCCAGGGACUGGCGGCAUUGAAGAGGAAUGAGGAGCAAAUAAGAAUGAGUAUGGAGUUUCUUUGCAGAGUAAUGAAAAUAUUAUAAAAUAUAAUAAUGAGUAUGGAGUCUCUUAGGGUAAUGAAAAUAUUCUAAAAUUGAUUGUUGCAAUGGUUGCAUAACUGUGAAUACACUAAAAUCUAUUGAUUUGUACAUUGUAAAUGGGUAAACUUUAUUUUAAUACAAUUACAGGAUAGAGUAUACAAAUACAGUGAUUUGUACACUGUAAUGGGUGAACUAUAUCUCAAUACCUCAAUAAAGCUAGUUUUCUUUUUUUUUUUUUUGCACUAGAAGAAGGAGACAUCAGUAUGUUAAGAAUGUAGAUAGCUCUUGUUAUUUUGAGAUACGUCCCAUCAAUACCUAAUUUAUUGAGAGUUUUUAGCAUGAAGGUUUGUUGAAUUUUGUCAAAGGCCUUUUCUGGAUCUAUUGAGAUAAUCAUGUCGUUUUUGUCUUUGGUUCUGUUUAUAUGCUGGAUUACAUUUAUUGACUUACGUAUAUUGAACCAGCCUUGCGUCCCAGGGAUGAAGCCCACUUGAUCAUGGUGGAUAAGCUUUUUGAUGUGCUGCUGGCAUUACCAUUCAGGACAUAGGCAUGGGCAAGGACUUCAUGUCUAAAACACCAAAAGCAAUGGCAACAAAAGCCAAAACUGACAAAUGGGAUCUGAUUAAACUAAAGAGCUUCUGCACAGCAAAAGAAACUACCAUCAGAGUGAACAGGCAACCUACAAAAUGGGAGAAAAUUUUCGCAACCUACUCAUCUGACAAAGGGCUAAUAUCCAGAAUCUACAAUGAACUCAAACAAAUUUACAAGAAAAAAAACAAACAACCCCAUCAAAAAGUGGGCGAAGGACAUGAACAGACACUUCUCAAAAGAAGACAUUUAUGCAGCCAAAAAACACAUGAAAAGAUGCUCACCAUCACUGGCCAUCAGAGAAAUGCAAAUCAAAACCACAAUGAGAUACCAUCUCACACCAGUUAGAAUGGCAAUC